ACGAACGCUGGCGGCGUGCCUAAUACAUGCAAGUCGAACGGUCUUUCUAUGGAAGCUUGCUUCCACUGAGAAGAUAGUGGCGAACGGGUGAGUAACACGUGGGUAACCUGCCCAUAAGAGGGGGAUAACAUCCGGAAACGGGUGCUAAUACCGCAUAGUUUUCUUGAUCGCAUGAUUGAGAAAGGAAAGACGGCCUUUGUGCUGUCGCUUAUGGAUGGACCCGCGGCGUAUUAGUUAGUUGGUGAGGUAAUGGCUCACCAAGACGAUGAUACGUAGCCGACCUGAGAGGGUGAUCGGCCACAUUGGGACUGAGACACGGCCCAAACUCCUACGGGAGGCAGCAGUAGGGAAUCUUCCGCAAUGGACGAAAGUCUGACGGAGCAACGCCGCGUGAGUGAAGAAAGGUUUUCGGAUCGUAAAACUCUGUUGUCAGAGAAGAACAAGUUGGAGAGUAACUGCUCCAGCCUUGACGGUAUCUGACCAGAAAGCCACGGCUAACUACGUGCCAGCCGCUGC
rnacentral:rRNA from 1 species